UACGUAGGGGGCAAGCGUUGUCCGGAUUUAUUGGGCGUAAAGAGCGUGUAGGCGGUCAGGUAGGUCCGUUGUGAAAACUCGAGGCUCAACCUCGAGACGCCGAUGGAAACCAUCUGACUAGAGUCCGGAAGAGGAGAGUGGAAUUCCUGGUGUAGCGGUGAAAUGCGCAGAUAUCAGGAGGAACACCGAUGGCGAAGGCAGGUCUCUGGGCCAUUACUGACACUGAGAAGCGAAAGCAUGGGGAGCGAACAGG
rnacentral:rRNA from 1 species